rnacentral:lncRNA from 1 species
GAGUCAAAUAAAGAAAGCAAGAGCAUCAUUAUGACCGGUAAGCAAACACGAAAAUAAUAAAAAUAAAAGAAGAAGAGAAAAAGAUAAAAAAAAAUGGUAAAAAAAAGAAAGAAAGCGGGGGGGAAACCGAUGAAGGCGAGGAGGAAGAAUUUACAAAGAACAACGACAGCACCAACGCCAACCCCAACACCACCACCUCCACCACCAUCCCCAAAAGAUGGAAUCAUCCGUUUCCUUCCCCUCCUCGUUAACCGAAACUACUACCACCACCGCCCCCCACCCACUUUCCCUCCCCUCAUUUCCUCCCACCACCACCGCCGCCGCCGCCGCCGCCGCCACCUUCGCCUCCCUCCGCCGCUCCUCUGGAAGCGUCCCCGCCGCACCCGAUCGCCCGAU